GUGUCAGCCGCCGCGGUAAUACGUAGGGGGCGAGCGUUGUCCGGAUUUAUUGGGCGUAAAGGGCGCGUAGGCGGCUUGGUACGUUGGUCGUGAAAGCUCCUGGCUCAACUGGGAGAGGUCGAUCGAAACGGCGGAGCUAGAGGACGGUAGGGGGAAGCGGAAUUCCGGGUGUAGUGGUGGAAUGCGUAGAGAUCCGGAGGAACACCAGUGGCGAAGGCGGCUUCCUGGACCGUAGCUGACGCUGAGGCGCGAAAGCGUGGGGAGCGAUCCGGAUUAGAUACCCGGGUAGUCCACGCCCUAAACGGUGCGAACUAGGUGUCGGGGGUAUCGACCCCUCCGGUGCCGGAGCUAACGCAAUAAGUUCGCCGCCUGGGGACUACGGCCGCAAGGCUAAA
rnacentral:rRNA from 1 species